rnacentral:rRNA from 1 species
GACGAACGCUGGCGGCGUGCUUAACACAUGCAAGUCGAACGGAAAGGCCCUGCUUUUGUGGGGUGCUCGAGUGGCGAACGGGUGAGUAACACGUGAGUAACCUGCCCUUGACUUUGGGAUAACUUCAGGAAACUGGGGCUAAUACCGGAUAGGAGCUCCUGCUGCAUGGUGGGGGUUGGAAAGUUUCGGCGGUUGGGGAUGGACUCGCGGCUUAUCAGCUUGUUGGUGGGGUAGUGGCUUACCAAGGCUUUGACGGGUAGCCGGCCUGAGAGGGUGACCGGCCACAUUGGGACUAAGAUACGGCCCAGACUCCUACGGGAGGCAGCAGUGGGGAAUAUUGCAGAAUGGGCGGAAGCCUGAUGCAGCAACGCCGCGUGCGGGAUGACGGCCUUCGGGUUGUAAACCGCUUUCGCCUGUGACGAAGCGUGAGUGACGGUAAUGUGUAAAGAAGCACCGGCUAACUACGUG